UUCGCUGUCAAUGUGAUACAUUCCUGGAGUCACCUGUGAAGAGGCAACAUCUAUUUUGCAACCAGUUUCUUUAAGGUUCCAUCUAGAGUUCACCAAGAUGAUGGAUUGGACACUUCUAAUUGUAAUGCUACCAUUUCCUGCUCAAAUUGAAAACAUCAGCCAAUAUUUAGAGAUUUCUACGAAAAUGGCAGAAAAGUACACUGGGCUCCCAGGAUGUAAGAAUUUGAAUGCAAAGUAUAUGUGUGCUUAUGGUGGCAGAGACUGUGCUC